rnacentral:rRNA from 1 species
UACAGAGACUGCAAGCGUUGUUCGGAUUCAUUGGGCGUAAAGAGCUCGUAGGCGGUGUGUCGCGUCGGCCGUGAAAACCUGCAGCUUAACUGUGGGCGUGCGGUCGAUACGGGCAUCACUGGAGUUCGGCAGGGGAGACUGGAAUUCCUGGUGUAGCGGUGAAAUGCGCAGAUAUCAGGAAGAACACCCGUGGCGAAGGCGGCUCUCUGGGACGGUACUGACGCUGAGACGCGAAAGCGUGGGGAGCGAACAGG